rnacentral:lncRNA from 1 species
UUUCAAUCAUAGUAACUUUGUUUUCAAAACCAAAAUAUCAUUCUGUCACAGUUGUUGUUAUCGCAAAUGAAAUUCUCUGUUCUUCUGAAACACCAAAUCGGUGUUGCCAAACAGGUUCACAUAGAUUGAGUGGGUCAUCGAUGGCGAUAAGCUGUUUGCUGCCCGCUCUUUGCAUCUGCUGCUAGAAAAAAGAUUCUUACUGUCACUAUUUGACCACUUGUGAAGAACUAAUGCGUGUACCAAAAGAAAUGGAUUAAACUUAUUAUUUUUUGAUUGGCUUCCGAA